UAGGGAAUAUUGCACAAUGGGCGCAAGCCUGAUGCAGCAACGCCGCGUGCGCGAUGAAGGCCUUCGGGUCGUAAAGCGCUUUUCUGGAGGACGAGGAAGGACGGUACUCCAGGAAUAAGGCUCGGCUAACUACGUGCCAGCAGCCGCGGUAAAACGUAGGAGCCUAGCGUUAUCCGAAUUUACUGGGCGUAAAGCGCAUGUAGGCGGUUGGGUAAGUUGGCUGUGAAAUCUCCCGGCUCAACUGGGAGUAGGCCGGUCAAGACUGCCCGACUGGAGGCUGGUAGAGGGAGGUGGAAUUCCCGGUGUAGUGGUGAAAUGCGUAGAUAUCGGGAGGAACACCAGUGGCGAAAGCGGCCUCCUGGACCAGACCUGACGCUCAGAUGCGAAAGCUAGGGGAGUGAACGGGAUUAGAAACCCCGGUAAUCCUAGCCGUAAACGAUGUCGACUUGGCGUCGGUGGGGUAAAAGCCGAGCGGUGCCGGAGCUAACGCAGUAAGUCGACCGCCUGGGGACUACGG
rnacentral:rRNA from 1 species